AUGCUGACGUUUCGGAUACUGGAGAGAUCGUCAGCGGGAGUCAGCGACCGUGCUGCCUGGGACAGGCACAGCCUGGAGUCCAUCGCGGCCACCAACGUCGAGUAUGAGCUCCUGUUUUCUCGGGAGUACUCCGGGGCCAUGACCCAGUUCUUCCCUCACUCUUCCUGCCCUCAUCACCCUGGUGCACUAUGUGCUGGAGCUGGGCUUGCAGGUGGACCAGGAGCAGGAGGUUGGAGAGCCCACCGUGUCCUCCGCCCUCAGACCCUGGAGGACCUCUCUGGGGCCCUGAAGGGGCUUCUCUCCGGCCAGGACUGCUGCAAGACGUUCAUGUCCAUGCAGCUGCAGGAUGGCUGGGACCUGUUCACAUGCCUGGAGACUUUCCAGGAGGGCGUGGUCCUGCUAGCCAGGACAAUGGUCCAGAACAGGUGCCUUGUCGUCGGUGACCUCCUGACAGCGGUGGCGACUUUCCUGCCGGGGUUGGGCCGGCAGGGACGGAGCUUUGCCGUGGGCCUCCUGGCCGAGGUGAGUGCCGGUGCCAUAGGACCCGCAGAGACCGUGCCAGGCCGAGAGUGGGGCCGCCGGAGCCAGGCAGGGACCGUGGAGCCCCGGACACCAGGAGACACCGUAGGGCGGGGCUGGGAGUGGGCAGGUUUCGGGGGGGAGGAGGGAGGAGCCGGGAGGAGCCGAUCUUUUGCUUCGGCUCUUCCUCUGCGGACGGCACUCCCCCUACCGUACCCAAUCAGCCUCCAUCCUCUCUCGGGAAUCCUCGUUACCCUCCCCCGAGGGGCCCGCCUCCCCCCGCGAUCCAUCCACAUACAACGUUUCUCUCAGCAGCUCAUCUGGAUCCCCAAGUUGGGGUCGGUCCUGGAACCUGCUGCUCUCCAGAGCAUUUUACAGGAUGGCCUGGAGGACCCCGACCCCAUGGUGUGGGUCACCAGUCUCCAGGCCCUCAACAGCCAACCCUUGAACCCAGGAAAGACGCCACUGCUCCGGGCCCAGCUUCCGGCCCUCCUGGAGGGGCUUUAUAUUGAAGAAGAGGAGUCCCUCUUGGCAGCCAUGGCCACAGUGACCAGGGUGGCCCGCAGCCUGGGGCAGAAGGGUCUGGAGACUUUUCGCCCAGACAUCGCUUUCCUGCUGGGCCCCUAUAUCGGCGACAGAGAGCUCCAGUGCGCACUGCCGCCUUGGAGAUGCUCACCGCCGUGGCCCACGGUGGGGUCGGGGAGAAGCAAACUGGCCCCCGACAGGAAUUGA
rnacentral:lncRNA from 1 species